CUCGGCGUCCCAGCACUGGUCCUGGGCCUCCUGCAGCUCCAGCCGGUGCUGGCGGCUUGCACCUCCAGCUGGGCCCGCCAGUGCCGCUGCAGCCCGGCCAGCUCCUCCUGGGCCUCCUGCAGCUUCUCCCGCAGGGCCUCCUCCUCCACGUGCAUGGCGCUCGCCAAUCUCCUUCUGCUGGGUGCCUGGGUGCAUUAGCAGACAAAAGUGCAAUUACUUUCAAGUGCAUGCAGCUCACUGAUUUCAUCCUCAAGUUUCCACACAGUGCCCGCCAGAAGUAUGUCCGGCAAGCCUGGCAGAAGGCAGACAUCAAUACGAAAUGGGCAACCACUGGAUGGACCAAGAAGAUUGAAGCCAGAGAAAGGAAAGCCAAGAUGACAGAUUUUGAUCAUUUUAAAGUUAUGAAAGCAAAGAAAAUGAGGAACAGAAUAAUCAAGAAUGAAGUUAAGAAGCUUCAAAAGGCAGCUCUCCUGAAAGCUUCUCCCAAAAAAAGCACCUGCUGCUAAGGGUGCUGCUGCAGCUGCUGCUAAAGUCCCAGCAAAAAAGAUGACCGCUGCAGGCAAGAAGGCUCCAGCCCAGAAGGCUCCUGCCCCGAAAUCCACAGGCCAGAAGGCAGCGCCUGCUCCAAAAGCUCAAAAGGGUCAAAAAGCUCCAGCCCAGAAAGCACCUGCUCCAAAGGCAUCUGGCAAGAAAGCAUAAGAGGCAGUUAUACAAAGUAAUAAAGGUUCUUUUCGACA